rnacentral:tRNA from 1 species
AGCCCCGAGGUGUUUCCUACAUAUCGGAUUGCAAAUCUGAAGAAGCAGGGUUACACCUGCCGGGGCUU